rnacentral:lncRNA from 1 species
AAUUUACUCCUUAUCCCAGUAGGUCAAGGUGAAAACAGAUUUGCAUCUAUAGUACAGAAACAUGUGAAUCUUCUGUGGCCUCCUGUAUGUUACUAAAAAUGUCUCGUGUUAUUAUGGACUCUGUCCUGUGGGCCAGACUUUGCUCCCAGAAAGAAGCAAGAACUAUUUGCAUAUCUCCCAGAUCAUUCAUUCUCCAGGCCUGUGGGCAUCCACAUCAAAGCCUUAUAGGAUCACCCCCAAUUGUCUCCUUCCUCUAGCUCCAAGGUGUUUUUGAAGAUCAGAGCCAUAAGUAUGAUUACUGCUUGAGGGUCUCUGCAUUUCUGAGGAGUCUCCCAUAGGCUGAAGGCCCAGAAAGUAACUCAGAAAGGGGUUGAAAGAUAGAUACCUUUUGGAUUGAGAAAUUGUUUUACUUCAUCACAAAAUAAAGUACUUACAGUUUGGGGUUUAAAUACUGGGACUUGUAUUGUACCUCCUCUAAAUCAUCCCAGAAAAUGAAGCAGAGAACAAUGUUCAAUGUAGAACUGCCCAUGGUGCCAGAUGAUUUUGAGUCACAUACAGAGCCAGGUACAGCUCUCAAAUGUUAUGUCUACUUGUGUGACAGGCAGCCAGUUUCCUAAGAGGGGGUUGGGGGCAGGAAAAAUUCAGUGCCUUCAUUGUGGGCUGCUUCUUGUUGAAUUUUGCUCCACAGGUUAGAAGACAGGUCCCAGUCUUCCUAAUGAGGCAUUGAAAGUCUAGGUGGAAUAGAUGCUUGCUGGAGCCUGUGGAUAUUAUAAAAGAAAGAGCUCACUGCCUUAAUGUGGUCAGGAGAGGCAGGAGUGAGAGCCAGUGUGAAGGUGUGGGAGUUGGAAGGAACUUGGAACUCAACUUCUUUUGGCCCCUCAACUUGAGAUUCACAAAGAAAAAAAGCAAUGUCUCCUCGCUGAAAGCAAAAUGGAAGCUCCUCCUUGCACAGUGCAGCCCCUUCCUCACUGUAGGUUAUUCCAAGUGAGAAGAGUAAACAUGACUUCUAAAUGCCAUCUAACGAUAUAUGCAUAUCUAAAGGAGACAAGGAUGACUGAAUGCAUCUUCAUGUGUAGGAAGUGAAGUGUCUGUUGACAUUAAGUACUUCUUCAUGAGUGAGAGGAGGCCCAUGAUGGAGAUGACACCAGUACCUCCUUCUAGCACUCUGAAUUCCCAAUGUUUACUACUGCUGUCUCUGAAACUGCAGCAUCCUCACCAGGACCACACAGGGAACAAAGGCAAGACACCUGAAAUCCCUUUAGCCAUAUUCACAACACUUACUUCAUAGAUAAGAUGAUGUUUGAAAUAUGAGAAGGAUUUUUUUUUUAAAAGAGCACUCUAUUCUCUUGGUAUCCUAGUAUGAGUGCCUGAAAGUGCACAUUGGCUAGAAGGUUUCAUGUGAGCAUCAGCCCCAGGGUCCAGAAGACACUCUUGGCAAGCCUGGAGAGUGAGUAUGUUGAACAGGCAAUGGAAGCAUCCAUGAAAGGCAGGCAACUGCGCACGACUUUCCAACAGAUGGCUGGUCAGUUGCACAGAGGGAAGGAGCCAUGGAUUCCAUGAUAAUGACACUUGUGCCAGCUUUUGUGUUUCCAGAAGUUUUGAAGAUAUAAGGGAACCACCACAUGUAGAGUAUGUGAAGUCUUACAGAGACGAGGUCCUAAGGUAUUUAUUUUGACAAAUCACGUUGCAAGUAAUGUGAAAGCAGUUUGAAGAAAAAAUGUCCCCAUCUAAUGCUGCAUUAUGGCAUGCAUUUCUUUAGCCUAAAUCUGUCAGUGACAUGAAAAUACAUGUUUUGCUGGACACAUAAUAGGUUGAACACAUAAUAGGUUCUAACAUGGAUCUGCAUAAAGAAGAAAGAAGAAAGGCUAUAAAGGUAGAAGAAUAAAUGUAUAAAUAUUACAACAGGACACUGAGCUGAGUGGCUCUUUACCAUAGACCUUGCUCAUAGUUCUCACUACAGGCUUGCUCUGAGCCAACUUCCAAGUUCUCUCCUUCUCCUUCCAAACUUCCCUGUAUGUCAUCUUGCUCCUGGGCCACCUGACUGAUGUUUAAUGCCUGGAUAUUUGCUUUCACCUCUGCAUGACCAAGCCUUGGCCAAGUCACUGUUGACUCAGUUGCAACAUCUGUCCCCUGCUGAGGGCUGUUGUAGCUUUCAUAGCUCACAGUCCAGCUUGAAUCUAACCUUUUCUGUGGUCAUUCAGAGUAGCAAGAAGCAUUGUGUUUUGGAUUUACUGCAGAACUCACACACUUAACUGUACACAGUCAGUUUUUAUAGCUAUCACUGCAUCCAGAUUGGACAGUGACCUUGGCUGAGACAUCCUUUACCUCUGUUUCAGAUUAAUUUAGGCGGCAUAUAAAAUCUCUGUGCACUGCCAGGGGAAAGUAAAGACUUCAUGAAGAAAUGGAGAAGAGCCGAAUAGUUGACCAUUGUUGCUGUAUAAAUCUUGGAUCCAGGGCUAAAAGGUGGCAGUAUAAAUGCAGAUGGUGCUGCUGCCAUAUUUUCCUGGCACACCUUUAAGCAGCACAUUUCAAGCCUUCAGGGUUGGAAUGGCAUUUCCAAAUAUAGACUCAAAAAAUCCUCAGAUGUUUGAUUCUAGAAUAGAGCUGGGAAUUCUGUCCUGCAAAUGCCUUCUGCAGCAUGGGAGCAAACCCACUCUUCUGUGUCUGUUGCUUCAAACUCUCUAUUUUCUGGAAACUGGAGAAAGAUGUGGGUCUACAUUUUGAAAUAUAUGCCUUGAACAAGAAUUAUGCACCUAUAGAAAACUUGUCAUACAUUGAAUAAACUCUCAGUUUACAGAAAUCUAUGGAAAUAUCAAAAUAAAACAUCAGAAGGAGCAGUAACUAUAGAGGUUAUUAACUAAGGGGAUAACCUGAAAAAUAAAGUUAUAUUUGCUAAAAACUGUA